CGUUUCAAUCAGAGUUUCCGCGAUUCAACUGAAUGUUCCGCUCACACGCUGCCUUUUAUUCUUAAAUUUAGCUGACUUUACCAUUAUUUUUUAUCUGAUUGACUGGGAUUACGAAUCUGCUAGCGUGUGCUGCAGAGUGACAGUACCAAACAGAGCUCCCCUCGGGACGGUGCCGAAGUUGUAUUCACGAAGGACAAUGUCGCAAUUCAUCCGACUCAGUCUGCGUCUGAAAGAAUCACUGGAAGACUGGAAUUGACUAAGCAAAGCUCGUCUUUAUUUAUGGUAAUCUUUGAUUUUUUGCAGUUACGUUUUGGUCUUGUAUUACAAUUAAAUUAAUGUAAGUGUCUUCUUGCCGCUUUUAGACUUGGAUACCUUACAAAGGGCAUAGCUCAGCAGAGGCCAGGCUGUCUGAUAAUUAAAGAAACAUUUAUACCGUGCCCUUCGCUGAUAUCAGGUCCAUCCGGAAGCAUACCCCUGCUCUUGGGUGGCAAUACAUCGUUGUUGUUCUAUCAUCAGGACUUGCUUUUCCUCCAUUCUAUUUAUAUAGUGGAGGAGUCAAAGAAUUAUUUGCUACAAUAAAGCAGCAUGUUCUUCUUGUGAGGUUAGCCUCAGAUAGCAUGUGAUAGGUUCCUGGAACCUAAUCAAGAACUUCCUUCUUGACACAAAAUGACGCAAGGUAUGAAUGAAACUGUGUAGUAUUGACAAAAAGAAUGUCUGUACAACAAGAAAAUAGAGGCUUAACUCUCUCCACAGGUCAAUACCUGUUUUACAAUCUAAUCACCAAAGGUCACAUCCCUAGACAACCCUUUCCCUAUUUAAAGACUCCUCCUAAACUGAACAUAACACCCCACCAGGACAGUUAUCCUACCCCUGCUUCCUAACUGUCCUAACAGACCCCUAAACCCCUCUAACAACUAUAUUUUAUUAUUGUCUUCCCUUCCUUCUAAGGCCCACAUUCAUAUC